rnacentral:lncRNA from 1 species
GGCCCUGAAGAUUUAUUUUAUACAACGUUUGACAUGUUUGAACGAACCUACAUGCGCGAGGAUUGCUUUCAUUAUGAACUUCAGAGCUGCGCUUGGAGAGAGCCAUAGGACGCGCUACCAACAUCAGGCUAAUGGAACGUGAAGUAUGGACUUUUUGACCGAAAAUACAUCUGUUGUGGACCUGGGAUGCUUUCUGAUGAAGACAACUAAAGGCAAGACAUUCAGAUCGAAAGUCCCUGGGGUUAUGAUCACACAGUAUGUGGAGGAAAUACCAGAGGGAAAGAGCCACCCAGACUUCCUCCCGCAAGCCCAUCGCUUUGACUAUUCAGGUGGAACAAAGAAAGCACCAGGCCAAACAUUUCCCUCUCUUCCUGAGAGGAAUUGGCAUUGUGGAGUACAUCACAUCAGUCACUGGCUUUAUCAAUAAGUGCAUUGAGGAUAUCGUCCCCACAGUGACUAUACG